UUAGUAGUCCCCUUGGUUCUAUCUAUGAUAGACGCGAGUUCGAGUCCCACCACCCCCUUUUUUGGCAGUUUCGAUUUUAGGGUUUCACAAAAUCGAAACUUUGGUCCGCCUCCAUUUAGCAGGAUCCAUCGAUGAAAUUUUUUAUUCUCCCGCUUCUCUCUAUCUCCUUUCUUGAUUCGUUUUUCCUCUUCUCUCUCAUUGUUUCCUACUCGCACCUCUCCCUUACACCCCCUCUCGUCUUCGUUUUCAUCGUCGGAGUUCCAUCUUACCGCCGAUGCGGUCAAUGUUGUACAUAGAGACUGUUUUAGCCCCGGUCAUCUCUCUUCGCCAUCACCAAAUCCGUAUAUCUUCAUCACCGAUUCAUCGUCCCCCUUUUUAGCUCCGGUCGUUUGCGUUUCGUCGCCGUCAUCGGCUUGCCAUCGCCAUUGUCAUCAUUGUUUCAAGCGACCAAGGUUAUUACUCCAUGGCUCAAUUGCCCUCAUCUCUCUCUUUGCACCUUUUCUCGAUUUCUUCCCUAAAAAGGUAAACCCUAGUUUUUUUUCAUUUCUUUUCUGAAAUUACUUCAUGUAUACAAUUUAGAUGUUUUAAAUUAUAUUUUAGGUCGAAUUUGAGAUUUUAGGUUAAAUUUUGGUUGAAAAUGUUAGAUUUGUGGUAAAGUUCAACAGUAAUGUUUGGGAUUUCCUAAUUCAAUAGGUUCGGAAAGCUGGUGAUCCAGGUAAUCACAGUUUUGCAAUCUUCCCUACGGGUAAGGAGGUCAAUAUGACUUUUGAGUUUAUUGAGAAUCAAAUCAAUCAAUUUUGAGUAAAUAUUCAACUUUUUUUUAUGAGUUUCAGUGAUUAUCCUACUGUGGCUUCUACAUGAGAAUGAAGUUUUUGAUCUUGUGUAUGACAGGUCCGUCAACAGUAAUUUUUAGAAUUAAACUAGGUUUAGCAGUUGGAAAUCAACUUGGUUUGGUAAGAGAUGAUUCUAUAUUAUAUAUUUAAUUACUUAUCUUUUGUUUUUAAUGUAUAUUUGCUUACUUGACCUAGUUGCAUAAAUGUUUGAGUUUGCAGAUCUGUGUAUUUGAAUUCCAGUUCAAAAGAUACAAUCCUACACAUUGUCACAACAAUAAAACAAGAAAGUACGUUUUGUGUUAGGUAUAUGUUUCUUUAUUUUAGUAAUGUUUAAAUUGUUUUCGGUUUACAAACAAGCUGAAAAGGUGAGCUCAAGUGUUGUGUGUGUUUCCACUUUCUUGAUUCCCCUGUUGAAGCAAUUCAAUAUAUGGACCAUGGAGCUACUAGCUAUUUUGGAACAAUUGAAUUUGUAAACAUGUAGUGUUUGUUUUUUUAAUUAAUUAAUAUUUACUUUUGUAAGAUAUUUUGAACAAUGGAAUGAAAUGUGUCAAAGUUGGUAUUA